UCGGACUGAUGGCGAGCGGCGGACGGCAGAGUAACGCGUAGGAACAUACCCCAAACUGAGGGAUAAGCACCAGAAAUGGUGUCUAAUACCGCAUGUGGUCUUCGGACUAAAGCUUCGGCGGUUUGGGAAUGGCCUGCGUCUGAUUAGCUUGUUGGUGAGGUAAAAGCUCACCAAGGCGACGAUCGGUAGCUGGUCUGAGAGGAUGAUCAGCCUGACUGGAACUGAGAACGGUCCAGACUCC
rnacentral:rRNA from 1 species